GAAUUAUUUUUUUUUUUUUUGGAUCCUGAAUUAUUAAGAACAUUUGUAUAUUCUCCAGGGGCAGGAAGUCUUAUUACAUAGCUGAUGUCCAGAGGCCUCUAGCCUAUAAAUAGGAUGUCUCACUUGUCUCCUAAAUUCUAACAAUGAGCUAAAGGAGGAGAGCAAGAGCUAAAGGAGGAGUAAGAAGGAGAUGCUAAGAGGAGAGAAAUGAAUAAAUGGCCUCUAAUAUUUGAGAGUCUGCCAGAAGAGACAGCAAAAAGACAUUGAAAUAAGCAUUGAGCUAGAUCCCGGAAGAUGUGCUGGCAACUACGAGUCUGAGUGUGGAGAUAGAAAAGGGGGAAAAAAAUCCACGAAGGUGUUCAAAGUGUAAAUGCAAGCUUCUGAGAGGAUUUUCCUCAGACCUCACCCUGAGAACCUGCCAUGAAGGUUUUCAAAGCUGGUGACUGUGGCUAUUUCUUCUAAGCCUUACGUUGAACAUCUCUGAAAGCUGGACCCAUUUUAGGAGCAUCUCUGAAGCAGAAGGAAGACUGGCUGGUCAUCCUCCAUCUGGGUUUCAUUCUUUUGCAUGUAUCUGUCCAACUCGCGUAGGAGAUGAAACUUGUCAAUCAGCCUGGCCUGAGCUCCUGGUUGUAUCUCAAAGCUUUGUGAUGGUCCAGGUCAUCUUCUUUGUUCUUAGUGGCUCUCAGUGGUUGAGGGUGUGCCAAGACCAGACAGUAUCCCAAGCGAGGAUCCCAUUCAGUGCCUGGAUGAAGGCUGAUCGGAAGCUGGAUCCUCAGGCAGCAGCUGGGGACAAAUGUGCUCACUCCUCUCCCAGUGAGAAACAAGGGAAUAGGCACUUUUGCUUGCCUUUCUGCACUGGGCCCUGAUGUAUAGCCAUGGCUGCUGCUGUGCCUGUUAAGAAAUGCU